GUCCGAAUGGUGUAGUUGGUCAUCACGUAUCCUUCACAACUGGUGAAAUCGGAUAAGGUCCUGAGUUCGAUCCUCAGUUUGGACA